rnacentral:rRNA from 1 species
CAGUAGCCGCGGGAAUACGAAGGGGGCUAGCGUUGUUCGGAUUUACUGGGCGUAAAGCGCACGUAGGCGGAUCGAUCAGUCAGGGGUGAAAUCCUGGAGCUCAACUCCAGAACUGCCUUUGAUACUGUCGAUCUCGAGUCCGGAAGAGGUGAGUGGAACUCCUAGUGUAGAGGUGGAAUUCGUAGAUAUUAGGUAGAACACCAGUGGCGAAGGCGGCUCACUGGUCCGGUACUGACGCUGAGGUGCGAAAGCGUGGGGAGCAAACAGGAUUAGAUACCCCAGUAGUCCCUGUCUCUUAUAC